AGUGAGAAUGUCGGCUUGAGUAACGAAAAUAUAGGUGAGAAUCCUAUACCCCGAAAACCCAAGGUUUCCUCCGGAAGGCUCGUCCGCGGAGGGUAAGUCAGGACCUAAGGCGAGGCUGACAAGCGUAGUCGAUGGACAACGGGUUAAUAUUCCCGUACCAUUAUUUAUUGAUAACGAGGGACGGAGAAGGCUAAGCUGGCCGGAUGUUGGUUACCGGUUUAAACGUUCGAGAUGAUGAGAAACGGAGAAAACGUUUUGAGUUGAGGCGUGAUGACGAGAUGCUACGGCAUCGAAGCAGUGUAUGUCAGACUUCCAAGAAAAGCUCGCACUGUCGUAAAUAAAUAAUGCCUGUACCAUAACCGACACAGGUGGGUAGGUAGAGUAUACUAAGGGGCGCGAGAUAACUCUCUCUAAGGAACUCGGCAAAAUGACUCCGUAACUUCGGGAGAAGGAGUGCCUUAUUUAUAAGGUUGCAAUAACAAGAUCCAAGCAACUGUUUACCAAAAACACAGGUCUCCGCUAAGUCGUAAGACGAUGUAUGGGGGCUGACGCCUGCCCAGUGCCAGAAGGUUAAAGAAGUUGGUUAGCCUAGCGAAGCUGAUGACUGAAGCCCUGGUGAACGGCGGCCGUAACUAUAACGGUCCUAAGGUAGCGAAAUUCCUUGUCGGGUAAGUUCCGACCCGCACGAAAGGCGUAAUGAUUUGGAUACUGUCUCGGAGAGGGGCUCGGUGAAAUAGACUUGUCUGUGAAGAUGCGGACUACCUGCACCUGGACAGAAAGACCCUAUGAAGCUUUACUGUAACUUGAGAUUGAAAUUGGACUUUAUUUGCGCAGUAUAGGUGGGAGACGUUGAGAAUAUUCUUGCGGGAAUAUUGGAGUCAUCAGUGAGAUACCACUCUUGUAAUGUUAGAUUUCUAACUUUGUAUCAUUAUCUGGUCAAAGGACAGUUUCAGGCGGGCAGUUUGACUGGGGCGGUCGCCUCCCAAAUGGUAACGGAGGCGUACAAAGGUUUCCUCUGAACGUGUAGAAAUCGUAUCUAGAGUGUAAAGGCAUAAGGAAGCUUGACUGUGAGACCUACAAGUCGAGCAGGGACGAAAGUCGGUCUUAGUGAUCUGACGGUGCUGAGUGGAAAGGCCGUCACUCAACGGAUAAAAGUUACUCUAGGGAUAACAGGCUGAUCUCCCCCAAGAGUUCACAUCGACGGGGAGGUUUGGCACCUCGAUGUCGGCUCAUCGCAUCCUGGGGCGGUAGUAC
rnacentral:rRNA from 1 species